rnacentral:rRNA from 1 species
UACAGAGGUCCCAAGCGUUGUUCGGAUUUACUGGGCGUAAAGGGUGCGUAGGUGGUCGGGUAAGUCUCAUGUGAAAUCCCGCAGCUUAACUGCGGAACGGCAUGGGAUACUAUUCGGCUCGAGGAUUGGAGGGGGGACUGGAAUUCCCGGUGUAGCAGUGAAAUGCGUAGAUAUCGGGAGGAACACCAGUGGCGAAGGCGAGUCCCUGGAUAAUUCCUGACGCUGAGGCACGAAAGCCAGGGGAGCAAACAGG